rnacentral:rRNA from 1 species
AUGUGGAGAACAGUGGGGUGCGUUUUGGGCACGAAUAGAUGCCCUAACAAUUUGUGGCAAUAUUUUGCUUGGUGUCACUGUUAUCUUCCUGAUGGGGAGAGGUUAUAUACCUUUGGCCUGGCUGCGUUAUGUUGGGCGAUAUGGAACUGUCGCAAUAAAAGAAUUUUUGAACUUAAGGAAUUGAAGUCUCCUUUUGAUGUGGUAUAUUCUACUUGUGGUUAUAUAUCUUAUUGGGCAGGGUUGCUGUCAGGUGAAGAUCGGGAGGCGAUGGAGCAUGGGUCUAAGAUGCUGAGGAUCAACGCCUCGAACAUGAUGAGGAUCUAUGCAGCACCGAGAGAUGUGACGCGGAGCGGGUGA